rnacentral:lncRNA from 1 species
GUCAAUUUUUAUCAAUUAGCGCUCUCUCUCUCUCUCUCUCUCUCUCUCUCUCUCUCUCUCUCUCUUUAUCUCUCCCAGUUGGGCCAACUAAAGCUGUUUCUUACUGCUUUGUAGAUGCAACCAUUUUUGCACACCAGAAGAGGGCACCAGAUCCCAUUACAGAUGGUUGUGAGCCACCAUGUGAUUGCUAGGAAUUGAACUCAGGACCUCUGGAAGAGUAGCCAGUGCUCUUAACUGGUUCCAUUCUACAUGCCACAUUGUGCACCCGUCUGUGUCUCCCAAUUGUCUUCUCUGCCCUCAUUUGCCUUGGGCUGAUCUGUUGAAAGUCGCAGAGACCAGGCAGCCCUCUAGUGGGCCCCAGUAACGGAUUUUCUGCAUUCCUCUCUUCAAGCAAAACACUGCUCCAUGAGAACAGAGCAGGUGUGUAGGCACAGCAGCGCCAUCCAAGCUCAUUCUCAGAAAAGAAACAUUUCUUCAAAGAAAGCAUGGCCUGCCCACCCCGUAGGCAACCUUUUACAUUCUCAGAAGAGACACUUGCUUGCUUUCCUGGUGAGACACAGCCUCAGACAUCUGUGUUUAUGAUUAGGGUCUUUGGUCUGAACGAAAGGCCUACUCCAACGAUUUUCCCAGCGUGGCAGGUUGGUUUGAAGCAGUUUCUUUUGUGUCUGUGCCUCACAAGAUAGAGAAAUGCUUAGAGCAUAGAAAUGGUGGUUCCAGUUUUUAUCCUUCCCGUCUGUGCUUUGAAAACGUGAAGACUAAAUUACAGCCAGGGCCUGCAUGUAAUGUAGUGUGACUAACACAUGCCUUCCAGGAGUCUCUGUAAGGAAAACAUUUCUUACACAUAUGCUUAUCUGUCCAGCCAUCUGUCCCUUCAACUAACGGUUACUUAUUUGCUAUGGAUGAAGCAUUUUGCUGGCAAGGAGAUAUUGAAGCAAUAG